UACGUAGGUGGCGAGCGUUGUCCGGAUUUACUGGGCGUAAAGAGCGCGCAGGCGGUCGUACAAGUCGCGUGUGAAAGCCCCCGGCUCAACUGGGGAGGGUCACGCGAUACUGUUCGACUCGAAGGCAGGAGAGGGAAGUGGAAUUCCCGGUGUAAGGGUGAAAUCUGUAGAUAUCGGGAAGAACACCAGCGGCGAAGGCGCUUACCUGGACCAUUCCUGACACUGAAUUGCGAAAGCUAGGGGAGCAAACAGA
rnacentral:rRNA from 1 species